rnacentral:rRNA from 1 species
GUGCCAGCAGCCGCGGUAAUACGGAGGGUGCAAGCGUUAUCCGGAUUUACUGGGUUUAAAGGGAGCGCAGGCGGAUUGGUAAGUCAGUGGUGAAAUACCCGUGCUUAACAUGGGAACUGCCAUUGAUACUAUCAGUCUUGAAUGUUGUUGAGGUUUGCGGAAUGGGUCAUGUAGCGGUGAAAUGCAUAGAUAUGACCCGGAACACCUAUUGCGAAGGCAGCAGGCUAAACAAAUAUUGACGCUGAGGCUCGAAAGCGUGGGGAUCAAACAGGAUUAGAUACCCUGGUAGUCC